rnacentral:rRNA from 1 species
UAGAGCACUGUUUGGACGAGGGGCCCCUCUCGGGUUACCGAAUUCAGACAAACUCCGAAUGCCAAUUAAUUUAACUUGGGAGUCAGAACAUGGGUGAUAAGGUCCGUGUUCGAAAGGGAAACAGCCCAGACCACCAGCUAAGGUCCCAAAAUAUAUGUUAAGUGGAAAAGGAUGUGGCGUUGCCCAGACAACUAGGAUGUUGGCUUAGAAGCAGCCAUCAUUUAAAGAGUGCGUAAUAGCUCACUAGUCGAGUGACACUGCGCCGAAAAUGUACCGGGGCUAAACAUAUUACCGAAGCUGUGGAUUGUCCUUUGGACAAUGGUAGGAGAGCGUUCUAAGGGCGUUGAAGCAUGAUCGUAAGGACAUGUGGAGCGCUUAGAAGUGAGAAUGCCGGUGUGAGUAGCGAAAGACGGGUGAGAAUCCCGUCCACCGAUUGACUAAGGUUUCCAGAGGAAGGCUCGUCCGCUCUGGGUUAGUCGGGUCCUAAGCUGAGGCCGACAGGCGUAGGCGAUGGAUAACAGGUUGAUAUUCCUGUACCACCUAUAAUCGUUUUAAUCGAUGGGGGGACGCAGUAGGAUAGGCGAAGCGUGCGAUUGGAUUGCACGUCUAAGCAGUAAGGCUGAGUAUUAGGCAAAUCCGGUACUCGUUAAGGCUGAGC